AGAGAGAGAGAGAGAGGGGGAGAGAGAGAGAGAGAGAGAGAGGAACUAGGUAGAAUGAUGACGGACUAGCUUUUCUGAGAGGAAAAGGGGAGAGAAAAAGGAGACCCUGAACUGAGCAGAGGAUUGUGCCUGAGAAGAACCUACCGAGGCGGCAGAGGAGCCAACUUCGCAUAGGAGAGCUCAGCUUUCAGGCAAAUGGGGAAAAACUGCUUUCAGGUACAGAAUCAAAAGCUGUCUGCGAAGAUGGAGGGGAAAUAUGCUUCAGAUUCUGCCGAAAUAUUGUCAAAAUGCUUCAAAGAGUCCGCGGCAGGAGUGGGGCGGGGGAGCUGUGUCUCCCCAGCUUGCACCCACCCUUUCCACUUUGAGUCUACCAAAUGACAGCCUGGUGCUGGCUCCGGUGACUUGGCCUUGGCUGCAGCCAAGCAGCUGAUGCACAGGAGGCCCUGUUUGCACGACUGGCGAAGUGCACGCGAAAGAAAAAAAAAAGAAGAACAUGUUUAUUUAAGGCAGCUCUGGGAAGAUUUCUAAUUCUCUAAUUUUCAAAAAAAUUUUAACUGAGUAUUUUCAAAAUUUGAUCAGUCCCAGCCCCUUCCUCUACUCCCACCAAAAUAGCUUUUUUUUUUUUUUUUUCUUUCUCGUCAAAGCAUAAACUACAGAGUUACAGUCUCUAGAUUUGGUGUAUCGCUUCUGCCCCCGCCUCCCCCUCCCCGCCCAGUUCUCCGUCCUCUAUUGAAACACCUCUCCCAGGCUAGCGCACUGAGAGCUCACAUUUCCCCCCUUGCUCCGAAUGGUGCGACAAGAGGCUGCAGCCCUGCUCCACUUCCAAUGGUUGUAUUGAUGUUCCUUUCAGCUGAUUCUAUAGCUACUCCCCCUCAGGAAUGUCUCUCCAAUGAAAGGCCAAAAACCGCAGAGAGUGCUGCACCAGUGGAUGCUCAAGCCAGCUCUGAAGUUGAAACAAAGAUCACCUGAAGAUACUUCUCCUGCUCAGCAACACAGCCAAAUGGUGCAGUUUCAGCCCAUAGAAUUCUCAGAACAAGAGGCAAUUUUUUCAAGAAACUAAAAAACUUAAUGACAUCCAAAUUUUUAAUGAGCCAAGGACUUUCCCUUCCUCAUUGUAUUCCUGUUUGUAUUUAAAUUCAGUGUGACAUUCAUUUAAAAAAAUUCUUCCUAGUAUAAAUAUGCUUAUUAAUGUACCAAUUUUUAAAAUAGAAAAUUGUACAAAUGUGUUAAUGUUCUGAGGAACAAAAUUAAUGCUAUAAGUAGAUUGAUUUAACCACACACAGAGUUUGAUCUUAAGAGUGACCUAAAUACUGUAAAGUGUUCUUGAAAUAAUAAAGUAGUCAGAGGCAAACCAAAAGAUAAAAUAAUGGCGGAAAGUCUUAAUGCAGAGUAGUAAUACCACAUUAUCCCACCUGAUACCAACCAAUGAACUGUUCUUUUUAUUAAGCAAGCUAGAUUCUGUGAGAUGUGGUCAGUGCCUCUGAAGAGUUUAAGUCUAGUUAGACAUAGGUACAUAAACCUUUGAAAAAAUAACUAACAAAUUUGGUCAAUAAAUAAGACCAAAACUCAAACAAAACAAAUGAUAUAAACAUGGUAGUUGGGGGAGGUCACCAUAAGCUGGGCAGAACUUGUCUGUUUAGGGAAAAAAUUCCCCUAAGGAAGAAAUUAUAAAUCUUAUAAUCUUAUGAAUCUUAAAGGAUGUUAACGAUUUAGAUAAAUUGCCAUAAAUGGAAAGGAAGGAGGAAAUAGUGUUUUUUUAGAUAGAUGCAGUAUUGUGUGAGCAAGACCAUAGAAGAAGUAAUCUACCUGGCGAGUUUAGGGAAUUACAAAUACACACAUCAAGUUGACUUCACUCCAGACAUUUAAUGCCAAUGUAUAUAUACAUAUAUGGUAAAGACUUUACACAUAUACUUCCCUUCUCCCAUCCCAGAUGCCACCUAGAAUUAUUGUAUUUCCUUGCCAUUAAAGCAAGUGACUGGUAAUAAUAUGAAAACUUAUAAUUUUUCUGUUGACCUAAUAACAAUUGGUACUUAUUGAAUUCUCAUUAUAUAUUAAGCAUUUUCUAUAUUAACUCACUUAAACUGCAAAAUAAGUAUAAUUAUUCCCAUUUUAUAAAUAAAAAAACCUGAAGUUUAGUAAGAUAAGGUAACUUGCCAAAUUGCCAUAAACAGGGUUCACAUUCAGAAUUGCAGUUGUAAAGCUCAUGAUCUAAAGCUGUAAGUCGCAAUAUUGCAAUCAAUGUCACAUAUUAUCACUUCUUCUAUUCAUUUAAUUAUUCCCUCUAAUUUUUCAGUUUUCUGGUUAAAUUACACUUGAAUGCUAGAAUGUAUUUUUGUGAUAGAAAAUUUAAAAUAUUGGGGAAGAGAGCUUAUCAGAAAUUUCGCGGUUUUUGUUUGUUUGUUUGUUUUUUGCCAAGCUGUUGAGAUUCUCUACUUUGGUCUGCUCGAAAUUGCAAAUCCUUGAAAAGAAAAAAAAGAGGAGGUAGGGGAGAUUAAAGGUCAUCUAUUGCAAUGUUCUUUUCUACAAAUAAAAUAAAUCCAUAAAAUUAGAGUGACUUACAGAAGAGCACUUACAGAAGUGUGGCAGAGCUAGGUACAGAAACCAGGCCGUCCAGUCUAAUAUCAGAGGCUCUUCAAUUAUUCCACCCUGCCUAAAUGAAGUAUGAACUUGAAUUUGAUCAAUGAGAACAUUUUAUCUGAUCUGGGAGCAUUGUACCUAGUAGAUUGCUUCAAUUUUGCACCUCUUUGGCUUCCCAUGUUAAUGUGAAAAAUAGCUAGCUAUGAACCAACAUCUUUAGAUACAGAAAUUGUCAGUGUUCCAUCCUCAAAGAACACAUAAUGGUCCAAGUUAUGUGUACAAUGUCCUCAAUGAUAUGCUUACGUUAUUUGGAUUUCUUAGUUCACCUGAACAAAUCAAAACUUAUAAUGGGUAUUUUAUUAACCAUUUUUGUGCACAGUAUAUAUUUAUAAGUGCUUCUGCAUAAAUAUUUAUAUAUGACUGUUUCAGUAGUCCUUAUGUUCUUAAAUAGAUCAAUGAUUAUUUGCUAUUUUAAUCCUCACUUAUCCAUGUAACUAACUCAAGAAUACUUCAGUCUUAAAAAGCUAAAACUGAGGAAAUCUUACUCUUCUUUACCAGCCCCUUUGCAUUCAGUUGGUAUUUAGUAAUGAUUAAUAAAGUAGUUAGCUGGAUAACACAGAGACUCAAAAUGAAGUAUGUCUUGAAGGAAUUAAGCUGAGUCUGCUUAAGGACAAAUAUCUAGAUGUUUGGAAGUAUCUGAAUAUUUGUCUGUUGUAAAUUUGGUAUUGUCAGACUUAGACGUCCUCAUGGCUCAGGUUAUUCUCUUUUCAAAAUGAUUAUUGGCUGUAUCUCAUACAGUUCUCAUUAAAUGAGUUUAUAAAUAAACAGGUUUUUUUAAAGAGUAGCUAAGCACAAAAUGUGACUUUGUUGACAUUUUAUGAGAUUUGUCAUAUGUCCUCUGAACCCUCAAUAAAAGCAAUAUUGCAUCAACUGUGAA